GUGCUCACUUCAGCAGCAUAUAUAGUAAAAUUGGAGCAAUACAGAGAAGAUUAGCAUGACCCCUGUGCAAGGAUGACAUGCAAAUCUGUGAAGUGUUACAUAGGAAU